GGGGAAGGUUUAGCUGAAAGGGGGUGUAGGUGAGGUGGGGGUAGUCAUGAGGGACGGGAAAGGCCAAGAGCAAUGGGAAAUGGCACCGGUCGAGAGGUUGGAUGGGCUGGUGUUACGAAGGAGUUUAGGUGAUGUUGGGGUUGAAUGUCUGGGUAUGUGUUGGGAUGUGCGACAAGGUGUUGGUGGUUGUGAGUGCGUGAAGGUAAUUCGUUGGAGGGAAAUGUUAUAUACGAGGAUUGUCAUACGAGUUAUAUACGAGUGUUGUGUGUGCAUAGUGGGUCGAAGGAAUUGGAGGACGAAAUAGGACAUAUCGAGAAGGAAGAUGUAGAAAUAUUAGGAGAUCCGCACCUGCUACAAAUCCACUCGAUACUAUUGUUAAUGAAUCCAUUGCAUAUCUGUGUAAACGAUCCGAUGCAGAUGACAUGAUACCAACCGGCAUUCUCGGACCGGUCACAGCAGAUAUCACACUAGAUGGCCCUUUGUCCCCACUUAACUCCUUUGGUAAAGCUUAUCCAGGGAUACUUAGGGUGAUAAGGAUUCGGAUUAACGAUAGCACCGGUAUCACCACAGAGGAGCAGCAGGAGAAGGGUGGCGUGUCUUGAAUGUGUGUUUGUAUUGUUGUGGUGUGUUUUGGAGCAGUGUGGAGCGGCUCGGGCAAGUGUUAUGUUGGCACCUGUGGGUGACUUGGAUGUGUGGUGCGGGAAUGUAGCUGUUAUUACUUGUGCAUGGUAUAUUAGUGCGUGUAGUGUAAGUGCCAAGAGUACUCUGGUUACUGUGCAGGAGGGCUGUAAUGUUAUGUAGCGUCUAUACUGGCGUGUUACAUGAGAACAUAAGAAAAUAAGGGAAGCUGCAAGAAUUCACCAGGUCUUUACGUGGCAGUCCCUGAUGAAACAUACCACCUAUCAUCCCCAUCCAUAAAUUUGUCUGAUCCUCUUUUAAAGCUCCGUAAUGACUCACCAUUAACAACCUGAUUAUUGAGUCCAUUCCAUUCAUCUACCACUCUAUUUGAAAACCAGUUCCUUCCUAUCUCUUGAACCUAAAUUCUUCAAGCUUGAACCCAUUAUUUCUUGUUUUAUCCUGAUUACUGAUCCUGAGAAUUUUGCUUACGUCACCCUUACUGUAACACCUACAACACUUAAAGAUUUCUGUCAGGUCCUCUCUUAACCUACGUCUCUUUAAGGAAUGUAUAUUUAAUAGCUUCAGUCUCGUUUCGUAAGGAUUACCCCUCAUCAUUCUCCUUAGUACUGAUUCUAAAAAAACUUUCAUCCUUCCUGUAAUAUGCGGACUAGAACUGCACCACAUAGUCUAGAUGAGGUCUGACUAGCGCCAAAUAUAACUUUAAUAUUAUUUCGGGACUUCUGCUUUUAACACUCAUAAAAAUUAAUCCUAAUGCCCGAUUUGCUUUAUUUUUGGCCUCUAUACAUUGUUUUUCUUUGACGAAGAUCAGAGCUAACUAUAGCUCCUAAAUCUUUUUCUUUCCCUGAAAUCACCAGAGCUUCGUUGUUUAUUGUGUACCUACUGUGUGGGUUUCCUCUACCUACGCUGAGUACUUUGCAUUUGUUAAUAUUAAACUGCAUUUACCAUCUGUCUCUCCAUUCGUUCAUCCUAUCCCAGUCAGCCUGCAAGGCGAUGGCAUCCGAAUCUGACAUAAUUAACCUACCUGUUUUCGUGUCAUCCGCAAAUUUACUAUCACCACAAGUAACCUCACUAUCUAAGUCAUUAAUAUAUAUUAAAAACAACAAUGGUUCUAAAACUGAUCACUGUGGCACCCCACUAAUCGUUUGUCUUAUUACGGCCCUCGUACCCGCCUCGCCAACCACUAAUCUCUCCAACUAACCAUCGGCUUCGAAUACCGUCUCGACCACACCGUGGCGGUAUCAUAAAGACGAAGCUUUGGAAACACGUCUCGACUCACGUCUCGAUCGAGCUAACCAAGCUGACAACUGACUCCAUCUCCACGCUUUGGCAGUCUCACUCGCUUCUCGGGGCCGGAGGCAUACUUCCGCCUGCUGCCUGGCUUUGGGUAAGAAGACGAGACGAACACGAAAACGAACACGUACACUCGCAUUCUUCGUUAGUACGUUUGAGUUACGUACGUUUGUGUUGUAUUUUGGGUAUAUUUUUGUUUUCCUUUAUUGCCAAUUAUUUCAUAUAUGUUACAUACAUUUUGUUGUUUAUUAACUUGUAUGUUUCGUCACCUUUGGUCUCCUUUAUUACACACUAUGUAUUUCAGCCGGCUUGACCCAUUGUUUUUCGCUCAUAUUUUCUAAAUGAUCAUUCCCAUCAGCAUGAUAUAUUAGCACGGCCUAAUUCACACCCUGCCCUAGUUUUUGACGUUAUAGUGCAUUCACAGGUGUAUUUAAUUACGGUGUUUACUCUCGACUUAAUGUGUCGUAGCCAACACCCGUGAAGCAAUUCGAACAGGUGAAGUUGUGACGUCAUCACAAACUACGUCGUCUACUCCAUACUCCUCCCCUUCCCUGCCACUAUCACACUCGUUUCCUUCUCCCCCUCCGCCCCCCACGUAAGGUUUACGUUAUCCUGGUGAGUCAGGGGCAGCAGGCAAUAUUGGUUUAAUUCCCUCAUUGUAUGAGGAGAGUGGCGCAUCGCUGCCAUGUCCAGCAUGCCAUGUUGCAGGUGUGGUUGUAAAACCGCAAUUGCAUUGCGACUUUUACACUAUUCCAAUCGAGAGAAAGCAGCCAAGAAAGUUUGGACAGGCGUUAUGAUCGUGUCGCAGCGGCCAUGGGGAUGACAGUGAAUGCUGUGCGGAUGAUGAAGUACAGUACGAGCUCACGUUCUGGAUCACCAACACCGUCUGUGACAGCCACUGCCCCGACAACACCGCCUAGAAAACCGACGUCCAUCGCCGCCACGGCCGUCUUUAACAAUUUAGCCGUUGGUGCCAUUCGCCGCCAUGAACACUGCAAAUUUGCUGUCAAACAACCUGUCACUGUUGGUAUGUUGAGUGAAGAGUUAGAGGGCGGAUAUCAUCCCGGAGGAAACCUCACAGACGACCGUGUGGCGAUUACUUCACAUCAUGGAGUUCAGGUAUAAGACAUAACAAAUGUACGUGAAGAAGGAAACAUGACAUCACAAAGGAAAAUGUACGUGAAGAAGGAAACAUUAGAUGUUGUGUCGUCACGUUAACGCUCUUCGAUCACUCGGGAAUCAUCGGAAGGAGGGGAGACGGGUGGUUUACGUCGACGAGGCGUGGUUGACUACCCGGAUGCACACGGUAAAGAGUGGGUGGACACAACACCGGUACCACCUUCAGCCGUCAACCUGGGAAGGGUGAGCGCUUUGUGAUAUUAGCAGGUGGCACAGAUGAUGAAUUCAUUGACGAAUCAUUUCUGUGCUACCCUGCAAAGAACAAAACCGGAGACUACCAUGGUGAAAUAAACAGCGCCCUAUUCAUUCGCUGGGUGACAUCACAGCUUCUGCCGGCGCUCGCUGGGUCAUCGGUGCUGGUGCUGGACAACGCACCCUACCACAGUCAGCUGACCGAAGAGACCCGUUGUCCACCACUGAUACAAGAAAAGCGGAGAUCGUGAAAUGGCUGGAGUGUCGCAGCCUACCAUUCCCACCACAUGCUGCGCCCCCUGAGUUGCUGCUGAUCCGCAAGGAGAACCGGCCCGAGCCACGCUACACGGUUGACGAAAUUAUCCGAUCAUGGGAUCAUGAGGUCAUCCAGUUGCCACCUGCUCAUCCAGAGUUAAAUGCCAUCGAACAAGUGUGGGGCUGUAUGAAGCGACAUGUGCGUUCAACGUCGCAGCGGUUCACUCGGGCAGACCUGCAAGCGCGGCUCCAGGAGGCAAAGCUUAUCGCAACCAAUGAGGUGUGGGCGGGUGCUGUGAGAAGGUCCAGAUCGUUCGAGGAAGAGUAACGGUCAUCGGACAACAUACAUGGUGUGGAACCCAUCAACAUCAUCACCAUCGAUAGCGAUGACGAGGAUGAACUGUUUAUCCACAGUGAUAUGGAAUGAAAUAAAAUGGAUGUUUUUAUUGUCAUAAUUUCCC